UACAGGGGGUGCAAACGUUGCUCGGAAUCAUUGGGCGUAAAGCGCACGUAGGCGGUUCGUUAUGUCGGAUGUGAAAGCCCUUGGCUUAACCGAGGAAGUGCAUCCGAGACUGGCGAGCUAGAGUCCGGAAGAGGCGAGUGGAAUUCCUGGUGUAGCGGUGAAAUGCGCAGAUAUCAGGAGGAACACCAAUGGCGAAGGCAGCUCGCUGGGACGGUACUGACGCUGAGACGCGAAAGCGUGGGGAGCAAACAGG
rnacentral:rRNA from 1 species